GAAGGUAGUAGUUGGCCGACCCUCUGUGAGAAGUGCAACUGAUGUCAUCGCUCAGUUUGUUUGAUGUAGCUAUCCGUGAGCUCAAAGUCAUAAAAAUUAUUUAGUACAUCUGGUAACUCUUUUUGUUACAGGUACAGUUGAUUUAAAUGUUGUAUGGUUUGAGUUAUGAUUUGAGGGGUCCAAGAUGUUGGCGUGCACACAUAUACACACAUAUAUAUGUAUAUGUACAUAUAUUAAUAGUGACAGAAUUAUUAUUUUUAUAAUACACUAAGUGUCUUGAAAAUGUUUAAAUUUAAGGACGCUGAGUCAUUUUAUGCUUUACCAACAAUGACGCAGAGUAAAACUGGUCAGCAUCAACGUAACUUUUCUAUGAUGUGUAAGAAACGUUUUGACAUCAUUUACCAAUCGUCCUGCCUACUUUAUUGUAGAAAGCUUUUUAUGAGUUGUCGGAAGGCGGUGACGUCACAGGAAGUAAAAUAAAAAUGAUGACAAAUGGCGCUUGCGUUGUUGUGUUAGAUCAUUACAGUUUUUAUAAAAUUGUUCAUCAAAAAUUAUUUAAUAUUAUGUAUAAUAUACCAACCGUAAUAUUAAAUAAAUUAAUUUUAAAUUAAAUUAGUAAA